GGGCCUGUAGCUCAGCCUGGUUAGAGCACUUGGCUCAUAAAGGCUUCUACAAAUAGAAUUUGCCUUGUGAUACCGAGUAGUCGGGGGUUCAAAUCCCCUCAGGCCCA
rnacentral:tRNA from 1 species